AUGCAGCAGCAGCCCCGCUGGAAGAUAGCCAAGGAGCAAAAGCUGUGGAGCCCAACACAUCAGGUGUCUAAAUCCCAAGGGGCUACUCUCACGUGCAUGGGCAACUCCAGGUUUUUCCUUGUUGAUUGCGUGGUAGCCGAUGGGUUCGAGUUCCAGGAUGCCUUUGAUGACCCUCAUGGCUUCGUGCUCAACAUGACCACGUUUCGUCUCAAGUACAAUCAUGAGGGCAAGCUGCGAAUCGUUGACAGAAACACCACCUCUUGUCGCAUCUCUAGGCAACUCUCGUCUUUUGCUCCUGUAGCGUUCUGGAUGUAG
rnacentral:rRNA from 1 species